UACGAAGGGGGCUAGCGUUGUUCGGAAUUACUGGGCGUAAAGCGCGCGCAGGCGGCUAUCCAAGUCAGUGGUGAAAGCCCGGAGCUCAACUCCGGAACUGCCAUUGAAACUGUUUAGCUGAGACUGAGAGAGGUGAGUGGAAUUCCCAGUGUAGAGGUGAAAUUCGUAGAUAUUGGGAAGAACACCGGUGGCGAAGGCGGCU
rnacentral:rRNA from 1 species